CAUUAAUGAAAUUAUAAUCCGGCGAGGGAAAGGCGGGGAGUUGUAGCUGGCCCUAGGGCAUGUGCACGCUCUCUUCUGGACUUUCGCCGUAUGGGCGCGGGGCGACCCGCGUCUUCAUAUACCUCUUCGUGUAGAAAGUCUUUGAAUGUUAUCAUCAUCAUCGAGUCGCGACUUCUAGGAGACGCGAUUCUUUGAGACAAAAGUUAUUACAACUUUCAGCAACGGAUCUCUUGGCUCUCGCAUCGAUGAAGAACGCAGCGAAUCGCGAUAUGUAAUGUGAAUUGCAGAUCUACAGUGAAUCAUCGAAUCUUUGAACGCACCUUGCGCUCCUCGGUGUUCCGAGGAGCAUGCCUGUUUGAGUGUCAGUAAAUUCUCAACCCCUCUCGAUUUGCUUCGAAAGGGUGCUUGGAUGUUGGGGGCUGCCGGAGACACUGGACUCGUCCAGGACUCGGGCUCCUCUUAAAUGAAUCGGCUUGCGGUCGACUUUCGACUUUGCAUGACAAGGCCUUUGGCGUGAUAAUGAUCGCCGUUCGCCGAAGUGCAAGACAGAACGGUCCCGUGCCUCUAAUGCGUCGACGCCUCUCGGGGCCGUCUUCCUCAUUGACGUU
rnacentral:rRNA from 1 species